GACAGCCCAGGCUUCACAGACGGCAACAAAAACCAACUGCGCCAACCUGCACCACCAAUCAUAAACAUUGUUCCAGUCAAUAACCGACCAGAAGGAUUUGAGGGUGGGAGUUGAGGGGUUAGUGCGAGGAAGGGAGGGAGAGGGGAGGGGAUGAGGAGGAGAGAGGGGCGAGCUAGUCUCCGUUUUGCUUGAAAAUACUUUGAACGU